GCACGGGCCUGGCUCAACCCG
rnacentral:sRNA from 1 species